rnacentral:lncRNA from 1 species
GGGUGUUUCAUCAACUAAAAUCGAUUUCGAUUUUAAAAAUCAAUUUUAAGGCCGAAUCAGUUUUAGCUUAAAACCGAUACGUGUGAGCUGUUUCAUCAAAUCGAUUUUAAGCUAAAAUAGAUUUUUAGGUGUCUGCAAUCAAGGCUAGUCAAUUUGGGGUAAAUCGAUCACAAAAUUGCUUGCUAAACUACUGCCAGAGAGUCCUUGAAAAAGUAAGUAAAUUCCGUUUUUCUUUCAAAAUAUUAAUUCUGUUGAUAAAAAAUCUUUUAUUUUGGAAGAAGAAAAGUGUUCCUGUCAUUUUUAUAGAAUUACAUUUGUGUUUAACUGAACAAAACUUUAGAUAAUAUCAAUUGAUAUCACCCCCAACUGGGCUAAAAAGUGGACGAAUUGCACUGGUUCAAUAAUUUCAGUCCCAUUCAUAUAAAUUCAUGCAGGUUCAAUAGGAAUUUUCUACCGACGGUUAGGGCAGGUACAAACUCAUUAAUCUAGUUUAUUCUUGCAAUAGUCUUGGGGUUAUAUACAAUAUACUAGGCCUAGGGCCUCUAUUCUAGGGCCUAGAUCUAUCUAUUUAUUUAGCGGCCCUUGUCUUGUUUUUGUUGAUAAUAAAAUUAAAAAUCAACAGACAACAGGAUCAUUGUUUUGACGUUAAUAUUUUAUGAAGAAGAAGAUUAGUCUGGACUCUAGAGAGUAGAUGGUCUAGAGUGUUGCUGUUAGACCCAAGUUACAUUUAGAUCUAGUCUAGAUGUAGACCUCUAGACUCUAGAUUUAGUCUAGGUCUAGAUCUAAGUUCUCGGCCUAGAUCUAGAUCUACUUGAUAAUGAUACUUGAUACUAGAUCUAGGGAAGAUGUAGACCUAGCCUCUCCAACUAUUACUAGGUCUAGAUCUAAGGCUCUAGCAUACUGCAGUCUGCAGCUCUCUUCUGCUGGACUAGUCCUACUCCUAGAUGUGGACCUAUAAUCUAGUCUAGACUAGAGCCGAGGUCUACUGGGAGUUACUCAGUUGGGUCUAGAUCUAGUCUAUACCUACUACUAGCGCUACAGUAACAAGUUGGAUUGUAGACUAGUCUAGUAGGCCUAGGUCCAGGCAUAUUAAUAUUAAAAUUAGGUCCAGAUCUAUUACUCAGUAGACUAUUAGGGUCACUAAGCCUUAGGCUCCCUAUAUUAUUAUUUUUUUCUUAAUUUCAUUUUUCUUUUAAGAGUCAGACUCAAAGAUGGAGUGGACCUCAAGACUCAAAAGUUCUCUUCUGCCGUGUCUCUACUCUCUACAGUCUUGGACUUCUCAUUCUACUACUAAUUUCUACCUCGGCCUCUGGCUCAAUAAGGAAAGGGUUUGGAUAUGCAGAAUGUACUCAAACUCAAUGUCUAGGUGUACAGCUAUAGACUCUAGACUAGAUCCUACUGUGCUAAGUGGCCUUGUGAAGUGAUCUUUUUACUAGUAAAAAUUGCACACCAAUAUUUAAACAAGUGAAAGGUUGCAAAAUAAAGAGCUAUGGCAUCUUCAUGUACUGCUAGUUCAUGACAUAUGGACUUUUAUUGUCCAUCUCUUCAAAUUGAAAAGACUGCAGAGCCUGAAUUACCUGCAACGUUAUGCUUCCUAUGAAACAUCAGCCAGCCCACAGAUAGAAGCUCCCUUUUCCAGCUUUAAGCAAGAGAGACCACAAUGAGAUACAGAUCCAUGGUAUCAUGGACUGGUCACUUUUACAACCAACACUACUUGUAAAAUAAGAUUUACAAAUUAAUUCCUAAGCUAUUUCAAAGCUGAUAGAAAAGAAUUGAUGAUUAAUUUCAUAUAGACAAACUAUUGUAUCAAGAAAAUCACAUUCUCACCGACUGCGUGACCUAGCUAGAUGACAAUGUAUAUCAUCCAUAGAUUAACAAACAUAUGAGUAACAGAAAUAUUUGUGACAAGUAUUACUCUUUUAAUCUCCUUAAAAGUAACUCGAAUAGAGAGUGGCAGAUAUCAGCUGCAGUAGUUUUAACAACUGGCUGAUACUUUCAUAGUAGCACUUUCAUUUGUGUCUUUUAAAAUGUUCUUAUUGUAUCCCUUGAAUGUAUUUGCUAUGCUCAUCAUUUACAAAACGUAGAUUUCAUUCAUUAAAGCAUAAGCAUAUUGAUUAGACAUUAAAA